rnacentral:rRNA from 1 species
ACAACGAAGAGUUUGAUCCUGGCUCAGGAUGAACGCUAGCGACAGGCCUAACACAUGCAAGUCGAGCGGCAGCACCUCGGGUGGCGAGCGGCGCACGGGUGAGUAACGCGUAUGUAACCUGCCCAUGAGUGGGGGAUAGCC